ensembl:lincRNA 1700020N18Rik RIKEN cDNA 1700020N18 gene
AGAGGGGCUGGCAGCCGAAGGAGGAGCGGCCGCGUUCUGCUGAGUUGCAGAGGGAUCAGGUUUGCUGGAGGAGGAGCGCUCAUGGCACUGCAUCUCCGAACACCAUGGAGGUGGUUUACUGUUGGAUCUGAGCAGCCACUCACUGGGCAGCACCUUAGCUGCUGUAUUCACCGUGCUGAAGGAGGCUGUGGGCAUCCUGCCCAGAGAAGCAGGAUGUCCAGGAUCGUGCCUACCUUCAACUAGGAUGUGGUGGGAACUUGAAACCUGAGACUUCCAGAAGAUGCCACCAACUGGUGCCUCACACAGAAACCCCACAGGUCCUGCCAGCACUCGACCCUUGCUCUUUCUCCUGUAGCUUUGCCUUGGCUCAAGACCCAUCUGCACCAGUUCUCUGGUCUCUGGGAGCUCCUUUGGAGGCCUGGCUGUCCCUGUGCUCUGCAAGAGCAGACAAGAUGUGGGUCUUGCUGGAUUCCAACCAGGCCUGAACCCUCUGCAUGAAGGAGGAGACUAGAGUCUCUCCAUCCAAUUUAGGAAUUCUGUGAACAAA